rnacentral:misc_RNA from 1 species
AAGGAUCAUUACCAAAUUGUCAACACGAGUUGUUGCUGGUCCCCAAACGGGGACAUGUGCACGCUCUGUUUGCACAUCCACUCACACCUGUGCACCCUCUGUAGUUCUAUGGCUUGGGGGACUCUGUCCUCCUGCUGUGGUUCUAUGUCUUUACACACACUCUGAAAUAAAGUCUCAUGGAAUGUAUGCCGCGUUUAACGCAAUACAAUACAACUUUCAGCAACGGAUCUCUUGGCUCUC